AUUGAACGCUGGCGGCAGGCCUAACACAUGCAAGUCGAGCGGCAGCGGGACCUUCGGGUUGCCGGCGAGCGGCGGACGGGUGAGUAAUGCCUAGGAAUCUGCCUGUUAGUGGGGGAUAACGCGGGGAAACUCGCGCUAAUACCGCAUACGUCCUACGGGAGAAAGCGGGGGCUCUUCGGACCUCGCGCUAACAGAUGAGCCUAGGUCGGAUUAGCUAGUUGGUGGGGUAAUGGCUCACCAAGGCGACGAUCCGUAACUGGUCUGAGAGGAUGAUCAGUCACACUGGAACUGAGACACGGUCCAGACUCCUACGGGAGGCAGCAGUGGGGAAUAUUGGACAAUGGGCGAAAGCCUGAUCCAGCCAUGCCGCGUGUGUGAAGAAGGUCUUCGGAUUGUAAAGCACUUUAAGUCGGGAGGAAGGGCUGUAGGUUAAUACCCUGCGGUUUUGACGUUACCGACAGAAUAAGCACCGGCUAACUUCGUGCCAGCCGCCGCGGUAA
rnacentral:rRNA from 1 species